UGGUCUACGACUGUGCCGCCGGCGAAUGGAGCCGUGUGGCCGAUUUACCGGAGGUCAUUCGCCGAGCCGCCUGCGUCUGUGUUGAGUGCUAACUUGCGCCGUGUGAUCUUGUAUCAAUAGAAGAAAGUACUUGUAAUUCAUAACAUUGAUAACAUAUCUCUGCAUUCUUUCUUCCCCAUUGGUAAAAGAAGAAACUUUUGGUAAUCACUAACUUCGGUCAAUUUAUGAUGUUUGCUGAGAAAAUGGGGCUUUUUAUCUAGUACUUAAUUGUUUAGUAGUUUGGAGCAACUUAUAUGCACAGAUUAUAACAAAUUGAUUGUAAUUUAGAGAGUGUUAAUUGUUCAAUAUUAUACUUGUACUAGUA